GUUUCACGACAUUUAGCGACCGGCUCAUAAACGAAACGUUAGUUGAAUUUAACAUUAGGGAUACUCAUUAGUGCGCUUGCAACCGAUUGAUUACAAGAAUUCCAGAAGCUACCAAACUCUUGACAAACAACGACUGUUUCAGAAAUCGUAAAUAUAAAUCAAAAUGUCAAAAAUUAUUUUGUUGAUGUCAAUAUUUUUGUUCAUUGGGCUCGCAGUGAAUGUUAUGGGCGAUUGUAAGUUAGACGAUUGUUUUAUAGACUCUAAUUGCUGUGACGGAUACUAUUGCGCUCGGGGAAGCGAUGUAGGGACUUGUUGGCCAAAUGAAUUAAAAGUCUAAAAACUUGCGGAUUUAAAAAUUUAAUUUUUUUGUCUAUUGAGUUUUUUGUCGAAGCAAAAUUAUGAGAAAUGACAAAUAAAUAAAUUUUAUUGCAAAA